UACGGGGGGGGCAAGCGUUGUUCGGAAUUACUGGGCGUAAAGGGCUCGUAGGCGGCCAACUAAGUCAGACGUGAAAUCCCCAGGCUCAACCCAGGAACUGCGUCCGAUACUGGAAGGCUUGAAUCCGGGAGAGGGAUGCGGAAUUCCAGGUGUAGCGGUGAAAUGCGUAGAUAUCUGGAGGAACACCGGUGGCGAAGGCGGCAUCCUGGACCGGUAUUGACGCUGAGGCGCGAAAGCCAGGGGAGCAAACGGG
rnacentral:rRNA from 1 species